GAGCAGCCCCCAGCUCAUCUUCUCCGUGGGUUUCAGCCCUCCCAGCACCCUCAGGGAGACUCAGAGCUGCUCCAGGAGAUCUGAGGGUCUUAAGGAGCUUCUCAUCUGGCAUCAAAUGAUCAGAGGACUGGAGAAUGCUGGCCCUGCUGCCAUAUCCCACUGAGACUGGCCAGGAAGCCUCACUGAGAGGGCUGAGCAGUCCUGAGGUACCCAGCUGUGUCCUGUAACAGGGACAGGUACAGUGAGGCCUCCAAGCUCACCUGCAUGUGUCUCACAGUUUCCUUUCAGAAACAAAAAUUGAAAACAAAUUGUCCCAUACACAAAACAAAGGGACAGAUCCUCAGCUGGAAUGGACUGGUAUUACCAAGUGAGUAACACCCACUCACAGGAGAGAGUCUGAGCCUUUUAACCAGCAGCUGCCCAUCCUGCUGUGCCCAGACAAGAGCUUCAGCCUCCGAGUUUAGAUGGCAGCAGUGCUGGAUCUGCAUAUCUGGGAAAAGAUACAGGGCUGCCUUCAGAGCAGCUGAAAGUACAGCAAGGCUCUGAGGACUCUGGGACUGUGCACUUCCCAGACCUGGAGCUGACUCGAGGUGCAUGAGCCAGUGGACACGACACCAAGAGAGCAACCCAUGUCAGCAUGGCCCUGAAAUUAAUGAGCUGCUUUGGAGAAACGCUGGCAAAGCUUCCAGAAACCAUUACUUGUGGGGUUUGCUUUCUGGAACAAGGGGUGGCUCUGAUUCUUCUCUCAAAACCAAGAUCAGGUUGAUCACCAUCUUGAAAAUUACAGGAACAGUCCCCAAGAAAGUAUCAACUAUACAGCACAAAAGGAAUGGACAGUGAGAACUGUGAUCCAUCCUGGCCAGUUCUGCCCCUGUCCCUCACCCACAAAAAAUUAAAAAUACACAUAUUAGGAGAAUUCAGGAAGUGUCUCACUUUGCCAAGGAACAGACCAUGUCCCCAUUGUCACUGUCUCCAGCAGAGCUGCCCAGCUGAGCUGCUGGCUGGGACAGCCAGUGCUGGGGGAAGCUGCCUGGGGCCCGAAAGGGCGGAACACUGGAGCACUUCCCAUCCUCCAUCCAGGGUGCUCAUCCAGGGCUGACAAGAGGUGGGUUUGACCACGUGCAUUUGACAUCUCCUCUCUCUUCACAAUCCUCAUUUUGGAGCAUCACUUUUCUUUUCUGCCACUCCCAACACCAGCAGAGGAGCUGGAAAGCCAAAGUUAUUUUUAGGAGAUGGUACAACUAGGCUCUGUUCAUCUUGACUGGGUCCCUUUGAAAAUGGCAAGGUUGGAUAAUCAAACACAUUACACAGACUUUCCAUAGAGGCCACUUUGCAAACGAGCCUCCCACCAUUCAGAUACCCAGGCACCAAUAUUUCAAAGAGGAGCUUUUGAUGCUGCCCUGGUUUGCCUCAGCAUGGUGACCUCACUAGCAUUUAUACACAGAACCUUGGAGAACAAACAGAUUAAAGCAGCUGACUUUAUGUAUAUAAAAUAAAACAAUUAGUCAUCAAGAAGCUACUAGAGGCUGCCACAUUACACCAAGAGGCAAGAGACCAGACCUAGCUGAGGCUGGCAAAGAAGGUGGCAGUGCAGCCUGGUCAAAUCACCCACCCAGAGCAGCUCAGGUGGGAGCUCGCUGGGGUGACGGCUGACACGUCAAACUGGCUGGCACCAGGACAGGGACAGGAAGGGAGAGCAGCAGGAGAAAAAUGCCAGGGGAGGAGCUGUGGCUGGAAGAGGCUCCAUGAUUCCUGGCAGAUUAAUCAGGGCAUGGCCAACUAGCCCAGUCUGGCCACUGCUGUUCUUGUUAAAGUCUCCAAAAGAAGGGGGGGAAAGGAGACACAUCCCAAUAGCCUCUUGAUAAUGGUCCAUCACUCAUGCUGAGUUUCAGACAACGUCCAGGACUGGCUGGAGGAGUGCCAGGUCACAGUUCUGCCCAGGACCACGCUCAGCACCAUCGGCUGGUGGGUUCAGCAGGGCAGCUGUAACCCAAGGCUCUGGCCCAGCAGUGCUGCAGCAGCUGGAGAGGGCUGGGGCUAUGGAUAAUGACCAGCAGUGCCUGUAUGCCUGCUGCCUCCAGAGGAGAGUGUUCCCACAGAGCCCUGCCCAGACGGAUCAAUGGCAGGAAAAGCAGCCACGCUGCUGGCCUCGACCUGCCAGGGCUGGCCCCAGGGCUCAACCCCCCUAAACCCUGAGCAGAGAGUUAGGAGAGAAGCUGCCAGCAAGAGGCUGCCCUGCCUGGGCUCUGCUGGGCUGCCCAGCACUGAGGGAAGCAAAGAGUUAUAGGAGAGCAGCAGGGAAUUACCAAGCAAAAGAGUUUUUAAAAUCAUUUCACUUUAAACAAAACUGAGGCAUUACCAUAAAGAAAAUGGCCACACCUUGCUACUUACUCAGCUUUGCUGACAAGACUAGCUUUUCCGUAGCUAUUCAAAUCUAACAAGUUCUGAGUGCCUAACUCACUCUUUUAAGUUCAUUUUCAAACUCCAGCCAAAAAUCACGUUCUGAUUCACCACUUUCUCAGGCACAGUAUUAUUCAGAGAACGCCUGCAGGCAGGUACUGUGCUGUACAAAGUACAUAAGCACAAGUUUAAUUACUCUGUGGACAAGGGAUGUGAUUAAUUGUAUGCUUUAAGUUAAGCAUGUGCUUAAGCAUGCUACUGACCUGGAGCUUUAAGUAGCUAUAUCAGGUGUUCUGGUGCUCUCCACUUACCAGUUCUUUGAGGUCAAAUAAGUGGAAAUAAUGUAAGAAUACUCCUGUGCUCAUACGCUCCAAAGAAUUCACACAAAGUCCAGUUUCUGACUUUUUUUAAAAUUACACAUUUGGACUUAUUCUCCCUAUUUUUGCACCAAUACUCAUUAUGAGUGUUACAACACUGUAUAUGGUCAGAAUGUAUUAACAUCAAAACAUGAGCUAAUUAUUGUAAUUUUCAAGCUUUUAAAAAGCAUUUGGUUUAGUUUUUUACUUUUCCUGGAUACUGCUUCAGGUAAGAACUUAGAUUCAUUUCAUUUGCACACUUUGUGGAUUAGUUCCCUUAUGUCUGGGCAGUGUACAAAGUCCUAAAAAAAAUAGGGAGCAUAUAAUUGAAACUAUUGCCCCUGCUAGCAGUGGGCUCAUCGCAUGGAAGAAGUCAAGCAUAAAAUGUGCAACAGCUAUGGGUGGUCACGUAAAUGCACAUUUCAUUAGCCACAGCUUACAUGAUCCUGGGAAUUUUUUUCACUGCGCUUUUCCACCUUUCCAGAAAAGGCUUAUUCCUAGUUCAAAAUAAUACAGGAAGGUCAAAUUGUGUCCAUUCCUUGGGGAGGAGCAAGUAGAGAAGACUGGGACCUGAAAGCUCCACUUUUUGGUUUUUUUUUAAAGACACAACUGCCCUUUUUGUGGUGCUUGGGGAGCCUUGAUGGACUGGACAGAGCCACUCCCCAAGGCAGGCGUGUGACCCAUGUGCAGUGCCAGCAUCCCAAGGGCAGGGAACACCCACGCCCAGCUACACCCACCAGCAGUGACAUUUCACAGGGACAAGCCAAGAGACUUUCACUGGAGCAAAGCAUGUGCAAAUCAAUUUUCAACAAGCGAGGGAGAGCACAGAGCGUUUGGUUACAAGCGAGGAGGCACGUGCCUCUGAAGGGAGCCUUCUUUGAGGAAGUAAACAGAUACAAUAAUUGAUAAGUGUUUUGGCUUCGCCUCAUCACUAAUCCCAUCACAUGCUGUUCCUUGCCAGCACAUUCAUGAAAAGUGUCUGUUUUGGAUACUGGGGCACAACAGAGAAGAGAAAGAACCCCGCAGUUCCCAGAGAGACAGCUGGCCCAGCCCAGGUGCACUCCCUCUUCUUGAAGCACAUUGAUCUCGAGCUUUUAAACUAUAUUGCUCUCUGCUUAAGAUGUUGGUUUUUGUCAUAAGCUUAAGCUUUUUUUUUUUUUUUUGGUACUAAAUGCAGUAAAAUCUUGCAAAGAAAAUGAAGUUUACAUUAUUAGGAAUCCCAGACUUAGUGCUGCAUGUGUGGGAGAAUUUACAUGACUUUUCCCUCUCAUUUCAGCAUUACUUCUUAUGGGUAACUCUGAAAUGUUUUUUUCCGAAGGAAGCAGAUUGCCAGGUACAUUGGCACUGGUUACUGUGGUUACACUGGUUACUGUGGAGAAUGCCCACUGGUUUUGGGGUCCAACUCUAUAUAUAUAUAAGCUCCUUACAGCAGCAAGUCACAGGACAACCCCCUUCAUUUGCUGAAUGUCAUUAAACUACACAGGAUUUAGCAACAUGAAGCUGAGCUAGGUGUCCUUAAAAUUGCUAUUAGU